AGUGAACGCUGGCGGUAGGCCUAACACAUGCAAGUCGAACGGCAGCACAGUAAGAGCUUGCUCUUACGGGUGGCGAGUGGCGGACGGGUGAGGAAUACAUCGGAAUCUACUUUUUCGUGGGGGAUAACGUAGGGAAACUUACGCUAAUACCGCAUACGACCUACGGGUGAAAGCAGGGGAUCUUCGGACCUUGCGCGAUUGAAUGAGCCGAUGUCGGAUUAGCUAGUUGGCGGGGUAAAGGCCCACCAAGGCGACGAUCCGUAGCUGGCCUGAGAGGAUGACCAGCCAAACUGGAACUGAGAAACGGUCCAGACUCCUACGGGAGGCAGCAGUGGGGAAUAUUGGACAAUGGGCGCAAGCCUGAUCCAGCCAUACCGCGUGGGUGAAGAAGGCCUUCGGGUUGUAAAGCCCUUUUGUUGGGAAAGAAAAGCAGCAGGUUAAUACCCCGCCGUUCUGACGGUACCCAAAGAAUAAGCACCGGCUAACUUCGUG
rnacentral:rRNA from 1 species